CAAAAACCCUUCCUUUACCUUUUUCCCACCACCCUUGGUCCCAACGCAGACAUCUUGGUAAAGAAAAAGGCCGGUCGAACCACUCAGCUUGUCUCGUCUCGUUGUGGCACACCCAAUUCAUUGAUCUGCUCUUUCUUAAUGAAGAAAGCAUUUAGAGAUAUAAAUUUUCCCUUAAGAACUGCUCUGGCUGCAUCCUACAAAUUCUGAACUGCCUUCGGCCCCCAAAGCAGAGGUCAAAGGGCUGUUCACCUGCUCUUCGAAGCUUGUGACCACUCUCGAUGGCUGCAAAUGCCUCUUCAGCAUAUCGCGGAAGUGGAUGGUACAUUCUUCAAUCUCCCCAAAGACUGAGAACCGGUGUUUCAACUCUGACCGAGUCAUGCAGCCUGGAAUCUUCCCAAUGAAGACCACCCUCCUCUCCUCCUGGAUUCAGCUUAUACUCACACUCACCUCCUUCUCCUAUUGCUCCUCCUACGGGGGGAUGGAGAACGAGACCGGCUCUGAGAACUGGAUGAGGAUGAAGA